AGAGUGUGAGUUCUCACAAGAUCUGAUGGUUUUAUAAUGGGCUUUUUCCUCUUUGCUCAGCACUUCUCCUUCCUGCCAUCAUGUGAAUAAGGACAUGUUUUCUUCCCCUUCCACCAUGAUUGUAAGUUUCCCUAGGCCUCCCCAGCCGUGAAGAACUGUGAGUCAAUUAAAUCUCUUUCCUUUAUAAAUUACCCAGUCUCAGGCAGUUCUUUACAGCAGCGUGAGAAUGGACUAAUACACCAUGGGAUAACUGAUACUGGCAUAUCUGUGUGGGAAACCCCAGGACCUGAGAACUUUCUGGCCAUUUCUAAAAUCUCCAGAUGGCUGCACCUGUCACCUCUUCUGUAAAAGCUGCUUGAACGGAAUCCUUCAAAAUACCAAACAGGACAGCAGGGACAUCACCAUAGAAAGAAUUGGGCUGGAAUGAUAAGCCAGAUUUUUUAAAAGAAGAAAUAUGUGGACAGAAAAUAUGUGACUGAAACACCAGGAGUUUGAUGUUGGUCUUGUUGCUCACUGCACAGAAAGCCAGUCACUGAGACAAUGAAUACUGCAGGGAAGAAGGAAGGCUUCAUGCAGGUGUGCAGCUGAGGAGGAAGAGGAGAUGAAGACACAGAUAUGCACAGAGGGGCAGCCCUGUGAGGACACGCGGAGAAGACGGCGUGUGCGAGCCAGGGAGACAGAAACCAACCGUGACAACCCCUGAUCUCAGACUGCCAGCCUCCAGAGCUGGGGGAAAGUACGUUUCUGCUAUUGAAGCCCCCAGUCUGUGGUGCCGGGUUACGUGCCAGUACCCACACGCCAGCCGAGACAGCAAUAGCGAGACACUCCGGACAGGUGAAGGGCGUGCGGCCUUCCCACCGCCCACCUGAAAACACUGCCUAAAGAUGAGCCCAGUCCACAAAGCCUGCAUGAAACGACGCGUUCAACAGCAGGAAAGACCUGGGUGGCAUAAAAAGAAAAAGAGUCAGGGAGACCAAGUCAGGCGAGGGGAGAAUGAGACUGGAAAUGGUUUGGCUGUGUCCCUACACAAACCUCAUCUUUAAUUGCAGCUCCCAUAAUUCCCAUGUGUUGUGGGAGGGACCCAGUGGGAGAUAAUUGAACGGUGGGGGCGGUUUGCCCACAGCGUUCUCAUGGUAGUGAAUAAGUCUCCUGAGAUCUGAUGGUUUUAAAAGGGGAAACUCCUCUCGCUUGACUCUCAUUCUGUUUUGUCUGCCGCCACAUAAGACGUGCCUUUCGCCUUUCACCAUGAUUGUGAGGCCUCCCCAGCCACGUGGAACUGUGUGUCAGCUAAACCUCUUUCUCUUCAUAAAUUACUCAGUCUUGGGUAUGUCAUUAUCAGCAGUGUGAAAACGGACUAAUACAAGACUCUUCAAAGGACGCCGAGCCCAGCACCUCCCCAAAGCCUGAGGAACUGGAGCGACAUGAGGGCUUGGUUCAAUCUUCCUGACCAUUGAGUUCUGACCCCACCUCCCGGGGGGCAGGGAGAUGUGGAGUGAGGAGGUAUUCACUGAACAUUUCUGGACAAGUGGAGGCCGCAGUGGGCACUUGGGCAGACAGCAGUCUGUGACGUGCAGGCUGCCCAGGAGGCUGGAGCUGGGUGCAGGGCCCAAUAGCAGUCAGCCCCUGCAGCCAACAAGCACCUGUGAAAUCUUGACGGUGCACAAUGCAGUAAUUUAUCUGGGCUCCACCGGGAGGCUGGCUGGCUGGAGCCGUUGGGUCUGGGGUGUCCCCUUAUUGCUUCUCCUUCGUGGACUGGGGGCUGGUGGGGACGAGCUGCUUCCCUCAGCAAUGGCGAAGGUGCUGGGGAGAGUAGAAAACCCUCCGCUUCUGUAGGCCCAGGCCCCGGGCCUGCACACUCUCUCCUCCGCCCACGUGCCCCGGGGUGAGCCCAGUUCAGGGCCAGGACACGCAUUCCUCCUUCUGCAGGAGGAACAGUCUCCUGGCAGAGGGCCCGGAUGCAGGACAGAGUGAAAAAUUGUGGCCAACUAUGCCAUCUGCCACACCGGCCUGAGAAAUUGGGCUGCAUCCCAGGGCAGCAGGGGCCAUCAGCAAGUGACAGGGAGCCGGGCUGCAGGGAGGUGGGAGGCCGAGAGACCUGUCGGAGGCCACUGUAGUUCAUCGUCCAGGAGAGAGAUCGCAGAGGCCUCGAUCCGGGGGCGGGAGAGAGGGCAAAAGGCCACAGAAAGAGGUGUUUAGGAGGCAGAACCUUAGGCCUGGACACUGGCUGGCUGCCAGCUGGUGGUUCAGGAUAAGUUCCUGGUGACUGGCUGGAGAAGCUGAGGAUGGGAGGGGCAGAGCCCAGGGGCAGAGUCACUGGGUAGGGGAGCCAUCCUCCAACCCAGACUCUAGCCCAUGUGGCUGAGACUCCAUUCUAUGUUGUGUAGUGUGUGUGUGUUUACAGCAGUAUGCAUGUGUGUGGUGUGUGCUGUGUGUGGUAUGUUUGCAUGUAUGAUGCAUAUGCCGUGUGUGGUAUGUGUGGUGUGUUUGCAUGUCUGAUGCAUGUGCCAUGUGUGCUGUGUGGGGUGUGUUUGCAUGUAUGAUGCAUGUGCUGUGUGUGGCAUAUGAUGUGUGUGGUGUGUUGAAUGUAUGAGGUAUGUGCUGGGUGUGUGGCAUAUGCCAUGAGUGGUGUGUGUGCUGUGUGUGUUGUGUUGCAUGUAUGAUACAUGUGCUGUGCAUGGUGUAUGUGAUGUGUGUGGUGUGUUGCUUGCAUGCUGUGUGUGCUGUGUGUGUCAUGUGAUGUGUGUGGUGUUUUGCAUGUCUGAUGCAUGUGCCAUGUGUGGUGUCCAUGGUGUGUGUGGUGUGUUGGCAUGUAUGCUGCACCUGUUGUAUGAUGUCUGCAUGAGUGUGUGGCACGUGUGUUGUUCUCCAUCAGAGCACCCCCUUCCUCAGGGAUUGGGGCAUUUACACCCCUAGAAUAGACCCCCCAUCCCACCCUUCUCCCCCAGAUCUCUCGGACCCCUGGACUGAGCUAUGGGGAGCCUGCCUGCAGCUCCCUCCCCACCCUCCACUGGACCAGCCCCUCCCCAGAACCUAGAGCCUGCUCCCCUGCCUGGGAUCAGGUCUUGGGGCCUGGAGGGUCAACACAGAGGCCCUCUGCUGUCUCCCAGCCUGGAGCCUUGUGGGAAAGAAGUAGCUGGUUGCUGUGGCAACCUGCACAUGGGCCCACCCCUCCUCCCCACUGGCUAAGCCUCCGGGGUCU